AGAUGAUGUCUUGCUACAUUGUCCAGGCUGGACUUCAACUUCUGGGCUCAAGCAGUUCUCCUGCCUUAGCUUCCUGAGCAGCUAGUACUACAGGCACGAGCAACCAUGCCCAGGUAAGGUGGCUAGACAGAAUACCUAAGAGAAGAAGAAAGGCCAUCUCAUCACAGCUGUGCCAUUAUCGGAGCAGGAAAAUUCUCUACAGAAGCCCCCUUUCACAUUUCUUCUUUGGCCAUGAUGGCGUCAUAUUCCUAAUCAAUAUUG
rnacentral:lncRNA from 10 species